rnacentral:ncRNA from 1 species
GAGUAGCCCUUUUGAGUUCAACAGGACUACUCAUAUGUAGAAAACUAAGUGAACAUUUAUGAUGUAUGCAGAAUUGAAUUUGCUUAUAUAUUUAAAUAAUAAAAAUGAGACUAUCUAGUGAAGUGAACCCCAAAGGGCUCUCACCUCUGGUUCCAAGCACCAGGGUUGCUGGGCAUGACUUUCUGGGGACAAUGACAGGUAAGGAGUUUGACUGGGGUGAUAUACCUGUCAAACUGUAGCACGGGUAUUCUAAGGUAAGCUCAGGGAGGACAAACCUCCUGUAGAGCACAAGGGCAAAAUUUCACUAGCUUUUGACUUUCAGCAUGAUUAGAGACUGUGAACCUGGGGCCACAGGAUCUUUCUGACUUUUGGGGGUUUUAAGCAGGAGGUGUCAGAAAAGUUACCACAGGUAUAACUUGCUUGUGGUGGCCACAUGAUCAUAGUGACAUUGCUUCUUGGUCCCAUAAUGUCAGCUCUUCCUAUCAUUGAGAUACAGAAUUCACCAAGCACUGGAUUGUUCACCCACUAGGAGAGAGUGCAUGAGCUAGGGUUAGACCAUGGUGAGACAGGUUAGUUUUAC